UACGGGGGAGCAAGCGUUGUUCGGAAUUACUGGCGUAAAGCGCGCGUAGGCGGCUUUGUAAGUUAGAGGUGAAGCCCGAGCUCAACUCCGGAACUGCCUUAAGACUGCAUCGCUAGAACGAUGAGAGUAAGUGGAAUUCCGAGUGUAGAGUGAAUUCGUAGAUAUUCGAAGACACCAGUGGCGAAGCGACUACUGACAUCUGUGACGCUGAGUGCGAGCUAGAGCACGAUGAGAUACCUG
rnacentral:rRNA from 1 species